rnacentral:rRNA from 1 species
CGUAGGUAAUCUACCUUCGGGUGGGGGAAUAACAAUCGGAAACGGUUGCUAAUACCGCAUAAUGCAGCGGCACCUAAUGGUGACAGUUGUUAAAGCGGGGUUAGUCGCAAGACCCUCGCGCCUGAAGAGGAGCCCGCGGCGGAUUAGCUAGUUGGCAGGGUAACGGCCUACCAAGGCGACGAUCCGUAGCCGGCCUGAGAGGGCGGUCGGCCACACUGGCACUGACAUACGGGCCAG